AUACUUUGAGCGACUUCAAACCGAAAAAAAAAAGAAUUCAAGUACUCCCAUGUUUUUCAUAUAUAUUUUAACUUAUAUAUUUGACAAAAAAAAAAACUUAUAUAUUCACUGAAUCAUUUGAUGGAAACAAAAUUACUUUUAGAUAUCAUAAGAACAUCCACGUAGAGUAGAUUUGUAACGAGGUGAUUGUCGAAAAAGAGAGAUCCGG
rnacentral:lncRNA from 1 species